AGUAAUAUAUUGUGUAUAUAAACUUCUUGUAUGUUAGUGUAAAUGUAGGCCUAUAUUGCUGUUGAAAAGUUUGGAGUCAGUAAGACUUGUAUUGUAUUGGUUUGUAUUGUAUUGGUUUCCACAAAAAUAUUAAGCAGCACAACUGUUAACCCAAUGUUUGUUUGUGCUCAUGAUUUGUUUUACCAUAGCAACAUGUGCUAAUGCCAACUCUGUUGGAAACAACUGUGAAUGUUAAGAAAUGAAGAAUGAAGAUCUGCUUAGACAACCAGCAUGUCAUCAUCCAAAACACAACAUUUAUCUUUUCAGCAAGGUAGGGUGUAUGUAGGCAGUUUGCAUUGAGGCAGCACUCUUGGUUUCGGAACAGAACUAUUUAUUUUGUGUGAGCGCAGAUGUGUGCAGAUAUCUAGAUUUCAUGUGGAUGUAAAUGGUUGCAUGUGUCAUGAGUCAUUGUGUUCAUACUUUCCCCUGAAGGCUGUCCCAGAGACCUGAGGGAGAAGGAGGAGAGCUGGUUGUCAUGUCAACAACAAUGCAAGUCCAUGCAGGAGCAGCUGUUGUCGUGCCAACAGAAACAGGAGGUGGUGACCCAGAGACUACAAUGGGCAGAAGGUGAGAUGAAGGACCUGAGAGUGGCCCAAUCCACUUUACUGCAUGAGAGAUUCCUGAUUUCAUUCAUUCAGCCAUACAGGAGCUCCAUGAUGAGUUGACAGUGCUGCAGAAGUGCAUUAAAGAGCAGGAGAAAGAGAUGCAGCAUGUUGAUGUGAGCACCUCCCAGAGGCAGAAGCAACUCCUGCAAGAGCGGAUGGGAGAAGCACAGCUGCAGUCGGCCCUGCAGGACUGCGGCAGAAGACACAGGAGUAACAUAUAGCAGCUCAAAGACGAGAGGUCCACCCUAGAGGAAGAGGUGAGGGACAUCAUUCCACCUGUCCACUUACAGGUGGUAGUUUUAGAAGGGUUUUCAACACACACAUGAGCCCCAGCCAGAAAUGGAUUUAACAGACUGCACAUUUACACAAUUUCUGAACACUUUUUAGGAGAAACUAGCUGCUAAAGAUACUACAGUUUUCAUUUACAUAGUCUAAGGUGUGGUUAUUGACAAAUGCAUGCUGGGAGUGCACAUUUAAUUUUAACAUCAAACCAGAGUAAUAGAAAACAGUUAUUUUAAAUUGUAAUAAUAUUUCACAAUAUUACUGUUUAUAUUGUAUUUUGAUCAAAUAAAUGCAGCCUUGGUGAGCA
ensembl:lncRNA